UCACAAUGUAUCUGGAGCUAUUGUGAUCUAGUCUCUGGAAGCACUUGGUGGUCCUGCCAGCAGAUGGUGUUCUCUCUGCCAUUCCAGCUUUGCCCCAAGCUCAGCCAAGGAGUUCCGUGAGGUCAUUCUAAUGGUUGCUUCCAACUGUCAGUUUCAGACCAGACCUCCCAAAGAACCAUCACUUGAGAUUCCUGUCAGGAAGCACCUCUUGAACACAGGAAGUGUGUCUGGUUUGGUUUCUGCAGACAGGAUGGAUCCCCAGGAACCACCAGUUUGAUUUCCAAAGUUGUUUUACCAGCUUGCUGUCCCACCAGCAAUGGAGGAGUGUUUCUCUUUCUCCACAGCCUGUCCAACAUCUGCUGUUAUCUUCAUUUGUGAUCUGGGAGAGUGGUGCUAUUUGGACAUGUGGCCUUGUUGGAAUAGGUGUAUCACUGUGGGUGCAGGCUUUAAUAACCUAACUCUAGCUCCCUGGAUGCUCUGAUUCUGCUAGCAGCCUUCAGAUUAAGAUGCAGAACUCUCAUCUCCUCCUAUACCAUGCUUGCCUGGAUGGUGACAUGUUGCAGCCUUGAUGAUACUUGACUGAAUCUCUGGAGCUGUAAGUAGCCCCAAUUACACAUUGUCAUUUAUAAGAUUUGCCUUGGUUAUGGUGUCUGUUCACAGCAGUAAAAGCCUGAGACAUUGAGUGUGGUUGUUUCAAUAUGCUAGUCUCAGAGAGUAUCACUAUUAAGAGGUGAUGCCAUGCUGAAGUAGAUUUGGCCUUGCUGGAAGAAAUGUGUUACUGUGGGGGUGGGAAUUGAGACCCUUCACCUGGCUACCAAUGACAAAAGCUUCUCCUAUUUGAAUUCAGAAGAGGAUAUAAAUUCUUACCUCUUCAAAUGCUAUGACUAUCUAGACUUAUGAACCAAUAAGCCAGCCCCAAUUCAAAGUUUUUUUUUUUUUUUUUUAUUAAAGUUGCUUUGGUCAUGCUGUCUCUGUAGAAAAAUAGAAACCCUAAGUCAGACUUUGCCAACAGGAGUAAGAUAUUUACAUAGUAGGCCUGGCCAUGUGUUUGUUUAGAGGAAUGUGGAUUUGAGGACAUUGAUUUGGAAAGUGGUGCAAUGCAUUAAGGGGUGCCUUUGGCCCAUCCCACAAGAAAUAUGGAAGAAAGUGGUACUGAGGGUGACUUAAACUGAUGCAAAAGGUUUUAUAGGAGGAAGAUAUCAGUAUGUGGCCUAGAAACUGUUUGAGUGGUAUUUUGGUGAAGAAUCUGGCUGCUUUUGCCAUUAUCUGAAGAGACUGAGGAGGCACAGUCUAGCAUGAAGAGAGUCAGAAAAUUGCAUGACAACUGAAGUCUAACAAGAGCCCAGCAUAGACUUCGUCCUCUGGUUCACUCUCAUGAAAGUGUUUUGAUGAAGUUUACCAAGCUGAUAAAGGAAAAAUACAAAAUAUGAGGGGCAAGACUUAAAGGAGCACUAAGAAGUGAAAUAGAGCUGGAUCCUGUGUGCAAUGAGAUAACAAGCUUAAGGGAGUGAUGAUCUCAGGGCAAGAUUCCAACUAGCUAACCUCAUUGUUAUUGCAUGUAAAGUAGCAAUAGUUAUUUGAUAUUCAGCAGUAUUACCUGGUUAUAGUUUUUAUUUGUACUUUUAUUUGUACUUUUAAUGUGGAAUGAACUACUAUCCAGAAAUGGAGGGUCCUAUUGUGAUUCAGAACUUGAGGCUGAAUGCACAGGCUUUUGAUUUAUAUCUUGAAGAACCAUGGCCAUGAGAAGCUUAAGGAGAUCUCCAAAUCAAGACCAGUCUAGAACAGAGAGAGUUGCAGGUAGAGAAAAGCUUAGAGCCAGGCAUGGUAGACCAUGUCAUUAAUCCCAGCA